UACGAAGGGGGCUAGCGUUGUUCGGAAUCACUGGGCGUAAAGCGCACGCAGGCGGAUCGUUAAGUCAGGGGUGAAAUGCCAAGGCUCAACCUUGGAACUGCCUCUGAUACUGGCGAUCUUCGAGUCCGGGAGAGGUGAGUGGAACUCCGAGUGUAGAGGUGAAAUGCGCAGAUAUCAGGAAGAACACCAAUGGCGAAAGCAGCUCUCUGGGACGGUACUGACGCUGAGACGCGAAAGCGUGGGGAGCGAACAGG
rnacentral:rRNA from 1 species